rnacentral:rRNA from 1 species
AAUCAACGCUGGCGGCGUGCCUCAGACAUGCAAGUCGAACGAUUAAGACUUCCUUCGGGAAGUGCAUAAAGUGGCGCACGGGUGAGUAACACGUAAGUAAUCUACCCUCGAGUGGGGAAUAACGUUCGGAAACGAACGCUAAUACCGCAUAACGCAGCGGCACCGCAAGGUGACAGUUGUUAAAGGAGUAAUUCGCUUGAGGAGGGGCUUGCGGCAGAUUAGCUAGUUGGUAAGGUAAUGGCUUACCAAGGCUACGAUCUGCAUCCGGUCUAAGAGGACGGUCGGACACACUGACACUGAAUAACGGGUCAGACUCCUACGGGAGGCAGCAGUCGGGAAUUUUGGGCAAUGGGCGAAAGCCUGACCCAGCAACGCCGCGUGAAGGAUGAAGUAUUUCGGUAUGUAAACUUCGAAAGAAUGGGAAGAAUAAAUGACGGUACCAUUUAUAAGCUCCGGCUAACUACGUGCCAGCAGCCGCGGUAAUAC